AGUGAACGCUGGCGGCAGGCCUAACACAUGCAAGUCGAACGGCAGCACAGUAAGAGCUUGCGCUUACGGGUGGCGAGUGGCGGACGGGGGCGGGAUACAUCGGAGUCUGCUUUUUCGUGGGGGCUAACGCAGGGAAACUUACGCUAAUACCGCAUACGAACUACGGGUGAAAGCCGGGGAUCUUCGGACCUUGCGCGAGUGAAUGAGCCGAUGUCGGAUUAGCUAGUUGGCGGGGUAAAGGCCCACCAAGGCGACGAUCCGUAGCUGGUCUGAGAGGAUGAUCAGCCACACUGGAACUGAGACACGGUCCAGACUCCUACGGGAGGCAGCAGUGGGGAAUAUUGGACAAUGGGCGCAAGCCUGAUCCAGCCAUACCGCGUGGGUGAAGAAGGCCUUCGGGUUGUAAAGCCCUUUUGGUUGGAAGGAAGAGCAGCAGGUUAAUACCCCGCUGUUCUGACGGUACCCAAAGAAUAAGCACCGGCUAACUUCGUG
rnacentral:rRNA from 1 species